rnacentral:lncRNA from 1 species
CGUUUAAAUUUUAUUCCUCCGCGAAUGAACGAAAGACUGAAACUUCUUUUCUUUUUUUUCUUUUUUUUUUUUUGAUUUACGAAGAGAAAGAUGUCGAAUUAAAUCGAUUGAUUAACGAAAUAUCUGCAUCUCGCAUUUUCAUUGUCACAAAUUAACGCGUGUAACGUAUCUCGACAAUAAAACCAGCUUCGACAACGCUUGUGUGUCAAGCUCGUCUUGGCUUUUAUUCAUUACACUAUCGUGUUGAUAAAUUCGAUCGUUUAUGAGAUUAAUUGGUUUUCGUUGGGUCAAUGGCUUGUGCAAGCGUAUCGACGUGGUCUGGAAUACUCGAUGACCCAGUUCAUAGUCCGUUAUUUCGAUUAGACUUUUUACUAUCGAUACUAAUAUUAAAACCAUGGCGUCGAGUGUAACAUAUUAUUAUUAUUAUUGUGAAAUAACAAAAAAUAUAUAUAUAAACUUUAAAAAUAUGAGAUGCACGAUGUAUCUAAUCAACUUUAAAAUUACGAUUAUCGAAUUUAUAUGCAAAUACAUAUAAGCAUACGUAAUAAGUAUAAAUCCAUCACCCACAAUGAACAAUAUCAACAUGCAUCACCACCAUUCGUUCGUUAUCUGUUGAGAAGAGCGAUUUGUACGACUGUCGUCAAUCUUUCGGUAUUCAUACAUGGGUAAUAUAAAUGGUAAACUGGUAUUGUUUGUUGUGGUGUGUUUAUUUUCAAAACGUAAUAAUCGCAGGGAAGAUAUUGGUUGUAUACAAUUACAGCAAGGCAAAGUGUGCGCCUACAACGAAGAGAGAGCCAAUUUCCUUUCCUGGUCUGGUCUGGAACCAGGGUGACUUAAGUCCGUCGAUGAUUACAGAACGACGAGGCUUUAAUUUAAUCCUCCGUAGUUUUUUAGGGUCGUAAACGAAACCGGUUGCAUCCAACUGGAAUAUACAUAGAGCUAGAACCGUACACGUUCGCAUAAAGAUGUUCCUUUCCGGCUGAGAAAUACCUGAAGGGAUCUCGUCCAGUCCAGUUCGAGUGGAACCAGCGCGGUUCGAGAAUUUACGAACGCGUACGACUCUUUUCGUAAAGUGGAAAAAUAAUUUUGAUAAAUUGUUAAAAAUGAUGGUAAUCGCGACGAAUGAGAGGAAAAAAUAUUCGAUUCUUGAAAUUAUCAAGGUUAGGUUUGACAAGGCAUCAAUUUAUGACGGAUCGAUCAAAGUGAACGAUGACAGUAAUAUAUAAUAAUUAUUAUCCAUAAGACAAUGGUUUUGUAUAUAAUAUAAUGCUCAGACGAAACCGGUUUCCAGGUAGAUUUAUUCCUUAUCAAAACGAAAUGAGUAAUUCUUGCUUGCUACGCAGAAUUCUAGUUGAUCAUUCUAGCCAAUAUACUUUUUUUUUCCCCCAUUCUCGAAGAGAGGAAAAGAAAAGGAAGAAAGGAAAAAGAAAGAAAGCAAGAUAAAUGUUAACCUGAACGACCCAGUAAACCAGAAAUCUAACUGUGUCAACAGGCAAGAUUAUGCACGCAUACGCAUCCGGCAAUAUAGUUUCUAGUAACCCGUCACUUACGCCCUUCUUCGAUACACAUAUAUGCAUAAGCGGAAAAGGGGACGUGGAUCGAUGAUUAUAACACGUAACAUAGUGGUGAUUAGAUGAAGAAUUGUGAAGCGGUUGGAUCUUCUAAAUCUUGUCUCAAUUUUGCUCUUAAUCCUUAAUCCUUCUUUCAAUUUGAUCGUAACGAGUUGUAAAUGUUAAGUGACGAAUGGAGGAAAUGUUUUGAUGGUCGUGCUCUGGAUUCAGGUUAUGUUCAGUUAACUGUUAAUCAUAGCCGUAACUUCGUCGUUUCUGAAAUUGAUGGAAAUAUACAAGAUGAGUGAGGCUUAUGCUGGAAGGAGAUGCUAUAAAGUGAAAUUUAAAGUGAUUGAAAAAGAAAAUCAACGAAUCAAGUGCAAUACAAUUUCUAUUUCUCUAUUUGAGAAAUUUAUCAUAUACCACGGAAGAACAAUACCUUUCUGUCUGCAAGCUUGAUUAAGUGAAACAUGGAAAUAAAGAAAAUUUUCUACA